rnacentral:misc_RNA from 1 species
GUGAAUCAUCGAAUUUUUGAACGCAAAUUGCACUCUCUUCGGAGAGUAUGCCUGUUUGAGGGUCAGCCUAAAAAAAAAAUCGACAUAUUCGCUGUUUCGCGGUGACAUUCGUCGGACAUUGGUUCAUUUUAAACUUUUGGUUUUUAAUCGGUUUAAAAUGUUCUUUACGUUUCGACGAACGUUUCUAAGAUUUACUUAUUAUACGUUUAAGGUAUCGAUUUUAAUUAUACAUGA